rnacentral:lncRNA from 1 species
AGGUUUUCUGAGAAGACGAAACUGCGGCUUACACCAAGGAUAUUUGCUAUCUUCAUGACUACAGAUUGCAAUGUUGCUGUUGUCGGAUCGACGACGGAGGGCAGAGAUGGCACACACCUCGGAAUAUAUUCCUUCUUACCCAAGGUUGGUGCGUAGAAUGUUAACACAGCACGACAGAAUAUAAAUCUGGAAAAACAGAAGAUAGGAUCAACAAAGAAUAAUUUGAUAGGUGUCUAAAGUCGGAUCAAGAAUCACAUCUCUCUUUCAAUUCCUCUUGAGAUCAAAAUAUCAAGAUCAGUUAUAAGGGAUGCCCUAGUUCAAGCAUGAUGUUAACAAUUCUAAUCUCGUAGGACCACGACCAUGUGCAGCUAUUGAAAAUCUUUUCAGUCAACUUUUUAUAGAACUAAAAGAGAAAAGGUGCUGACUUGUUAGCCUGAUUAUAAGUUCUAGUUGGCCAUAGCCUACAGAAAAUCAGGCAACCUACCACUUUUGAACAUCUUCUUAGCUCUUCUUUUUACCCCAACUAUUCUCCAUUUACUUUCAUCUUCUUUGCCUACCUUCACACUUUAUUUUUUUCCUUCAUAUGUAAAUUACAUGCACCUUUAACUCUCAAUGCACAUUGGAUUUUUAACCGCAACUGAACUUUCUUCAAUCCAAAAUUGGCAGGUUGUUUUGGCUAAAAAUAGUGGGGUAACUGUCUACAACUUGUGAGCUAUGAUAUGAUGAUAGCCAUGAAGAAAAAAGGAAAUCAAAAUUCUCCAAACCCCACUAAUUCAAAAGUUAAGACAGACAAACAAGUUGGAUUGGAAAUCAAAC